rnacentral:lncRNA from 1 species
UCAUAUCAAGUAAUUAAAGAAGCCAAUAAGAGAUGCCUGCUAUAGGAAGAUAACUGAAGAAUGCUCACAAGACAAUGAUGAAGCAGGUAUGAUUGAUCAAAACCAAUUUCAACUGACAUAUAUUAUGUCUAGAUUUGGAUACCUAGUCCCCAACUUCUUUUCUGUUGUUGGAUCUAGUACUAUUACUAUUAUUCUGCUGCAUAUUUCACUUUGUAUAUUUGUAUAAUCCAUGUGGGAGAAAAAUUAAAACUAAUAAGAAGUACUCUGUAUAUUGAAGGAAGUGUCUACAGAUUAGGUUACAUUACAAUGUCAAAAAUUAGGAUGGUCUUUUAUAUAUUUGCAUCCUACUGAUAAUUUUUCUGCACAACAUGUUAGAGUAGGUGCUCUGGUAGUCAGACUGCUUUUGAGACCCUAGAAUAAAAAAGAAGAGAGGGAGGAUUAUUUGAACUCUAAACAAGGAGCUAGGAUUGAGCAAUGAUUGCAACCAUUUGUAGCCAAAUUGGGCAUCACCUUCAUAGCUGAUGCAGCAUCUAUCACCACGUUCAAUUGUUUAUCACCUAUGGGCUCAUGCCAAAUCUUAUACAUUUGUUCUUUUUUUUCCUUGGCUUUAACACAGUAACAUGAGAACAAAAGGCAAAACAAGAGUCAAGCAUAUCAUUGCCCAUAGGAGAUCCAUCAGAGUGACACCUUACCAGACCUUUCCGGUGCUACUGGUAUUGGGUGUACUGCUACUACUGUUACUGACCAGAGAGAUUAUGACCUUUUGUUGUAAACCUAAUAACUUCAGCUGCAUUUCACAAUCUCAUUGACAAGGC